AUCACCAUUGCCCCAUUAGGGGGGAAAGAAAAGAAGAAAAAAAAAACCUCAGCAGACCCCUCUCCUGGCAAUCAUUCUAUCAUUUCCAGUUGUCACUGUGGCAAUUACCAACCAGGCCCCCUCAACCCAAUCUGGACAUGUUGCUGGAUUUGGGGGGGAAAGAGUAGCAAAGCAAGGGGACAAGCAUGUAAAUGAGACGAUGUGUGUGUGUGUGUGUGUGUACAAAAUGGAAAUUUAUGACGCUGGCUUCUUUCUCUCGCCUCACUUGGAACUAAUUAGAACAUCUUUAUUUUUGUAUGUGUGUCGCUGAAGAUGUAUAUCAUAUUCACAAUAUUGGAAAACAUCACUUCCUGUAGGACUGGAAGUGCAAGACAACUACUCGUCAGUGGUGAGUUAUUAUAGAAUUAACUUUUUUCCCCCCCCUAAUUGCAACUAAAACUCGACAAAAUCCAAAGUGCGUGUAUGGGGGUAGGUCCGCGGCUUCCCUCCCUUCGCACCUCACCUGCUUCGCCAGCCGGCUCUCUCUCACUCUGAUCGCACACUCUCUCACUGCAGCUCCGACAUCGUGCACACACACACACGCAUCCGCAGGCGGACCGGAGCACAGCUCGCCUCUCGAAAACCCAGCUGGACGACACCCCGAGAGCUGCUUUUAUUUGCUCACAGAGAUGUUUUUCUUAGUUGCUCCAAUAGACAGGAAUCUACUGGAAAAGGAGAAAGGCUCGAUCUCCCCCAAGAGAGAUGAGUACAAAGCCUCUAGUCUGCUUGCAGCAGAUGCAGAAAGACGGUCCAUCUGCCACCAGCUCGCUUAGAGAUUUCAGACAUCUCUUUUUUUUCUGUUUUGUUUUAACAAUGUAAACCAAUCACACAUAAUACAAUCUAAUUAAAAAAUUAAAACAGAACUGUUUUUAAAAACAGGCAGCCAGGGCAACUAUGACAGAUUUAUUUAGGAGAAGACGCAGCCUCCAACGGGGGGUAAAGACCACUUGAACUCGCAGCUCUGAGCGGUCGGCUGGCGUGAUUUAACAGGCUCCGAGCGGCACGUUAUCUCGGCGGCCCCCGCUGCAGCAUAUUUCAGCCGUAUGAUAUCAUUAUUAUUAGGCCGGCGAAAAGACGGAGCGUCAGUGUCGGCUCUCUGAGGCGGCGAGGGUAAACGCUAAACAAUCAGUGUGAAAUGAAGACAGAAAGAAGGGAAAAGGGUGCUAACAUGAAACAAUUACUGUAAUUGCUUUAAGCAUGAACAAUAUACCAGCAAUUUCUCCAUCUGUACCCAGGGCUUCAGGCUGUAAGACUCCUUCAGCCACUUUUAAAUAAAUCCACCCAGAGUGCCUCACUGCAAAAGACAAACAAGAGGCCCCUGGCCUGAGAAACGUCUGCCUCACUAGGGGAAUGCUAUGCCUAGUUUUACAGAUCUGUGACAAUUGUGCCUCCUCCCUGCAGUUAUUUAUUCCCUUUGUCUCUUCUUUCAGCGCUUUUCUGCUGCCAAGGUCAACAGAGACAAACAGGACCACCAGCAUCUUGAUGCGGUAGCAGUGGAAUAGUACGACAGCGGUUUCACGGACUGAAAUCGUUCCGUCAAGGAAUCUGAGAGCUAUUUGUGAUGUGUCGCGUUUGAGGAAGCCACAGCAAAAGGGGCCUUCGCUGAUGGGACGCUGGUUCCCAGAAGCACACACCGCACAGCUCAAUGGAAGCCAGAUACGCUCCAGUGGCAGUGAAAAGAGCACAACACCUGUGGAUUCCACCGAAAACCUGUUCUCACAAGACCUUGGUCCAACUCUGUACAAGAAGUAUUGUACUUCUUAACGACUGUUGGAUGAUAUUAAGUCGAAAGAUCACAGAUCAUAUUUAUCAAGUACUAAUUGCAAGUCAUAAUGACUGUUACAACAAAUAUGACUAAAAGUGAUUUAUUUUAUUGCAAGAUCCACUGAGGGUGUUACAUAGGGGAUAACCUACACUCAC